rfam:Equus caballus chromosome 16, whole genome shotgun sequence.
CCUGACUUUAAGUCUCUUUUCAGGGUGCCACAGGCAAAGCUGGGGACCCAGGGAGAGACGUAAGUAAGG